UACGAAGGGGGCUAGCGUUGCUCGGAAUCACUGGGCGUAAAGGGUGCGUAGGCGGGUCUUUAAGUCAGGGGUGAAAUCCUGGAGCUCAACUCCAGAACUGCCUUUGAUACUGAAGAUCUUGAGUUCGGGAGAGGUGAGUGGAACUGCGAGUGUAGAGGGUGAAAUUCGUAGAUAUUCGCAAGAACACCAGUGGCGAAGGCGGCUCACUGGCCCGAUACUGACGCUGAGGCACGAAAGCGUGGGGAGCAAACAGG
rnacentral:rRNA from 1 species